rnacentral:rRNA from 1 species
UCGAGAAUCUUCCACAAUGGACGAAAGUCUGAUGGAGCGACAUUUCGUGAAGGAUGAAGCCCUUCGGGGUGUAAACUUCUUUUAUCUGGGAAAAAAUUAUUGAUUGUACCAGAUGAAUAAGGGGAUCCUAAUUCUGUGCCAGCAGGAGCGGUAAUACAGAAUCCCCGAGCGUUACCCGGAUUUAUUGGGCGUAAAGGGUGUGUAGGUGGUUUGGUAAGUUCAGAUUUAAAGCUCAUCGGCUUAACCUUUGAGAUGAUCCGAAUACUGCCAGACUGAGAGGGCGUUAGAGGCAAACGGAACCGAUGGAGUAGGGGUGAAAUCCGUUGAUAUCAUCGGGAACACCAAAAGCGAAGGCAGUUUGCUGGGGCGACCCUGACACUGAAACACGAAAGCGUGGGGAGCAAAAAGGAUUAGAUACCCGCGUAGUCC